CCGGCACGGGUGAGUAACACGUAUGCAAUCCACCUGUAACAGGGGAUAACCCGGAGAAAUCCGGACUAAUACCCAUAAUAUGGGCGCUCCGCAUGGAGAGCCCAUUAAAGAGAGCAAUUUUGGUUACAGACGAGCAUGCGCUCCAUUAGCCAGUUGGCGGGGUAACGGCCCACCAAAGCGACGAUGGAUAGGGGUUCUGAGAGGAAGGUCCCCCACAUUGGAACUGAGACACGGUCCAA
rnacentral:rRNA from 1 species